GGUUAAGCGACUAAGCGUACACGGUGGAUGCCCUGGCAGUCAGAGGCGAUGAAGGACGUGCUAAUCUGCGAUAAGCGUCGGUAAGGUGAUAUGAACCGUUAUAACCGGCGAUUUCCGAAUGGGGAAACCCAGUGUGAUUCGUCACACUAUCAUUAACUGAAUUCAUAGGUUAAUGAGGCGAACCGGGGGAACUGAAACAUCUAAGUACCCCGAGGAAAAGAAAUCAACCGAGAUUCCCCCAGUAGCGGCGAGCGAACGGGGAGCAGCCCAGAGCCUGAAUCAGUGUGUGUGUUAGUGGAAGCGUCUGGAAAGGCGUGCGAUACAGGGUGACAGCCCCGUACACAAAAAUGCACAUACUGUGAGCUCGAUGAGUAGGGCGGGACACGUGGUAUCCUGUCUGAAUAUGGGGGGACCAUCCUCCAAGGCUAAAUACUCCUGACUGACCGAUAGUGAACCAGUACCGUGAGGGAAAGGCGAAAAGAACCCCGGCGAGGGGAGUGAAAAAGAACCUGAAACCGUGUACGUACAAGCAGUGGGAGCACGCUUAGGCGUGUGACUGCGUACCUUUUGUAUAAUGGGUCAGCGACUUAUAUUCUGUAGCAAGGUUAACCGAAUAGGGGAGCCGAAGGGAAACCGAGUCUUAACUGGGCGUUAAGUUGCAGGGUAUAGACCCGAAACCCGGUGAUCUAGCUAUGGGCAGGUUGAAGGUUGGGUAACACUAACUGGAGGACCGAACCGACUAAUGUUGAAAAAUUAGCGGAUGACUUGUGGCUGGGGGUGAAAGGCCAAUCAAACCGGGAGAUAGCUGGUUCUCCCCGAAAGCUAUUUAGGUAGCGCCUCGUGAAUUCAUCUCCGGGGGUAGAGCACUGUUUCGGCAAGGGGGUCAUCCCGACUUACCAACCCGAUGCAAACUGCGAAUACCGGAGAAUGUUAUCACGGGAGACACACGGCGGGUGCUAACGUCCGUCGUGAAGAGGGAAACAACCCAGACCGCCAGCUAAGGUCCCAAAGUCAUGGUUAAGUGGGAAACGAUGUGGGAAGGCCCAGACAGCCAGGAUGUUGGCUUAGAAGCAGCCAUCAUUUAAAGAAAGCGUAAUAGCUCACUGGUCGAGUCGGCCUGCGCGGAAGAUGUAACGGGGCUAAACCAUGCACCGAAGCUGCGGCAGCGACACUAUGUGUUGUUGGGUAGGGGAGCGUUCUGUAAGCCUGUGAAGGUGUACUGUGAGGUAUGCUGGAGGUAUCAGAAGUGCGAAUGCUGACAUAAGUAACGAUAAAGCGGGUGAAAAGCCCGCUCGCCGGAAGACCAAGGGUUCCUGUCCAACGUUAAUCGGGGCAGGGUGAGUCGACCCCUAAGGCGAGGCCGAAAGGCGUAGUCGAUGGGAAACAGGUUAAUAUUCCUGUACUUGGUGUUACUGCGAAGGGGGGACGGAGAAGGCUAUGUUGGCCGGGCGACGGUUGUCCCGGUUUAAGCGUGUAGGCUGGUUUUCCAGGCAAAUCCGGAAAAUCAAGGCUGAGGCGUGAUGACGAGGCACUACGGUGCUGAAGCAACAAAUGCCCUGCUUCCAGGAAAAGCCUCUAAGCAUCAGGUAACAUCAAAUCGUACCCCAAACCGACACAGGUGGUCAGGUAGAGAAUACCAAGGCGCUUGAGAGAACUCGGGUGAAGGAACUAGGCAAAAUGGUGCCGUAACUUCGGGAGAAGGCACGCUGAUAUGUAGGUGAAGUCCCUCGCGGAUGGAGCUGAAAUCAGUCGAAGAUACCAGCUGGCUGCAACUGUUUAUUAAAAACACAGCACUGUGCAAACACGAAAGUGGACGUAUACGGUGUGACGCCUGCCCGGUGCCGGAAGGUUAAUUGAUGGGGUCAGCGCAAGCGAAGCUCUUGAUCGAAGCCCCGGUAAACGGCGGCCGUAACUAUAACGGUCCUAAGGUAGCGAAAUUCCUUGUCGGGUAAGUUCCGACCUGCACGAAUGGCGUAAUGAUGGCCAGGCUGUCUCCACCCGAGACUCAGUGAAAUUGAACUCGCUGUGAAGAUGCAGUGUACCCGCGGCAAGACGGAAAGACCCCGUGAACCUUUACUAUAGCUUGACACUGAACAUUGAGCCUUGAUGUGUAGGAUAGGUGGGAGGCUUUGAAGUGUGGACGCCAGUCUGCAUGGAGCCGACCUUGAAAUACCACCCUUUAAUGUUUGAUGUUCUAACGUUGACCCGUAAUCCGGGUUGCGGACAGUGUCUGGUGGGUAGUUUGACUGGGGCGGUCUCCUCCUAAAGAGUAACGGAGGAGCACGAAGGUUGGCUAAUCCUGGUCGGACAUCAGGAGGUUAGUGCAAUGGCAUAAGCCAGCUUGACUGCGAGCGUGACGGCGCGAGCAGGUGCGAAAGCAGGUCAUAGUGAUCCGGUGGUUCUGAAUGGAAGGGCCAUCGCUCAACGGAUAAAAGGUACUCCGGGGAUAACAGGCUGAUACCGCCCAAGAGUUCAUAUCGACGGCGGUGUUUGGCACCUCGAUGUCGGCUCAUCACAUCCUGGGGCUGAAGUAGGUCCCAAGGGUAUGGCUGUUCGCCAUUUAAAGUGGUACGCGAGCUGGGUUUAGAACGUCGUGAGACAGUUCGGUCCCUAUCUGCCGUGGGCGCUGGAGAACUGAGGGGGGCUGCUCCUAGUACGAGAGGACCGGAGUGGACGCAUCACUGGUGUUCGGGUUGUCAUGCCAAUGGCACUGCCCGGUAGCUAAAUGCGGAAGAGAUAAGUGCUGAAAGCAUCUAAGCACGAAACUUGCCCCGAGAUGAGUUCUCCCUGACUCCUUGAGAGUCCUGAAGGAACGUUGAAGACGACGACGUUGAUAGGCCGGGUGUGUAAGCGCAGCGAUGCGUUGAGCUAACCGGUACUAAUGAACCGUGAGGCUUAACCUU
rnacentral:rRNA from 1 species